UACGAAGGGGGGCUAGCGUUGUUCGGAAUCACUGGGCGUAAAGGGCGCGUAGGCGGCUUUGUAAGUCGGGGGGUGAAAGCCUGUGGCUCAACCACAGAAUUGCCUUCGAUACUGUAGAGCUUGAGACCGGAAGAGGUUAGUGGAACUGCGAGUGUAGAGGUGAAAUUCGUAGAUAUUCGCAAGAACACCAGUGGCGAAGGCGGCUGACUGGUCCGGUUCUGACGCUGAGGCACGAAAGCCAAGGGAGCAAACAGG
rnacentral:rRNA from 1 species